GCACUGUUGGUGUAGUGGUAUCAUGCAGGAUUCCCAUUCUUGCGACCCGGGUUCGAUUCCCGGGCAGUGCA
rnacentral:tRNA from 1 species